GACGAACGCUGGCGGCGUGCUUAACACAUGCAAGUCGAACGGAAAGGCCCUGCUUUUGUGGGGUGCUCGAGUGGCGAACGGGUGAGUAACACGUGAGUAACCUGCCCUUGACUUUGGGAUAACAUCAGGAAACUGGGGCUAAUACCGGAUAGGAGCUCCUGCUGCAUGGUGGGGGUUGGAAAGUUUCGGCGGUUGGGGAUGGUCUCGCGGCUUAUCAGCUUGUUGGUGGGGUAGUGGCUUACCAAGGCUUUGACGGGUAGCCGGCCUGAGAGGGUGACCGGCCACAUUGGGACUGAGAUACGGCCCAGACUCCUACGGGAGGCAGCAGUGGGGAAUAUUGCACAAUGGGCGGAAGCCUGAUGCAGCAACGCCGCGUGCGGGAUGACGGCCUUCGGGUUGUAAACCGCUUUCGCCUGUGACGAAGCGUGAGUGACGGUAAUGGGUAAAGAAGCACCGGCUAACUACGUG
rnacentral:rRNA from 1 species